CCAAUGUCUCCUUCAUUCUCCGCUAAUUUCAAAACCCCCCCACUUCUUUCUUCUAAACUCUAAAUUCUGAUUCCAAAUUCCCAAUGAACUUGUCUCGCUUUCUCUCUCUCUCUCUCUCUCAAAUGGUCAAAUCUAAUUCCACCUCCUCUAUUUUCCACCCAAUACGGCCAACGAAUAUGUGGCGACCACCUUCAUCUUUGAGAUACGGAGGAAAUGCGGAAGAGUAGACAGAUUGAUUGCUAAUUGGUUUUGACGCCUGAAGCUAGGGUUUUAACGCCAGGAAGAUGGACCUCCUCCAUUUUUAUUCUCAGCAGUUGAAGUCGAUUCCCAAUUGCAGUGUUUCUUCCUUGUUGUUGUAUCUCUCUUUGUUGCUCUUCUUCUUUGUCUCUUUCCAAUUCUAAAGACUCUAUCACAUUCUCAAAGGAAUAUGUUUCAGGUCACUUUGCCAAAAGUGAAUAAAUUGGUUUUCACUGGCUGGAUUUGCUUCUCCAUGUAAUUUUGAUCAUCGGUGAACUAAUUGUAGCUUUGGGAGAACUUACCCAACAAUUUUGCUAGCUAUUCUGGUUCAAAAGCAAGGGGAGAUAAUAGGAGUUUACUCUCGUUUUAAAGAGUCCAGCCCAUAUUGCAGAUGGACAAUGGAAUCGCCUGAGAAACUCAAUACAGUCGUUGUCUUGAAACAACGAGAUAGCAGCCGUUGGCAGAAGAUUAAUACAUGCAAUGGCUUCUAGUUGGCUAUAUCCCAAAUAAGCUUAUAAACCCAGGAUGCAGACUGAAGACUGGACUGGGUGGUAAAUUAUUGCUUAUUUUUUCAUAGAUGGUUUGACAAAAUUUUUGAAGUUUUAUAACAGGAAAUUCACUGUCUUAUGUCUUCAUUUGCAUGCUACUUCCCAAAUAAGCUUAUAAACUCAAAAUUUUUGAAGUUUUUAUGCAAAAUGGUCUGUUUUCUUACGAGAAAGUUUGGGGAUCUAUUUAGUAGAAGACAAGUGCUAAACUUCUCCUUCAAUUAUGUCCCUUUAACCCUGUGGUCUAUAUCAAUUCAUGCGCUCAAUAUAUCUAUAAGGGUACCACUACUAAUGGUAGGAAGGUUGUGCUCAAUAAGCUGGGGUUGUCCAGAUGCAAGGUAAUUAAGCUUAUAUGAUCUGCAAUUCAUUUUUAUUUAUAUGCACCUUUUAUCAUAUUUAUGGAGAAUGAUUAAAAGUUGUUCAAUGUUGGCAGUUGUUAGGUUCUAAAUGUGGAAUUUUAUGGUGUUUUUGCCUUCUGCUGUUUUGGAAUUUAAAGUGAUUAAGGUGAAAUAAUGGGGAUCUAGCAUCAAAUUUUGAUUAGCAUUCAACUUUAAUUCCAAAGUUUCUGAUUUCGGCUAAUUUUCUAAUUCCCAGCAAUAGUGUACUUCAUAUCAUUAGCUUUUGACGAUGCAUUUAUUAUCUCAUGGAUUUUGGCUUCAUUUUUUUGCUAUUUAUACUUUAUUUUGAGUGAAAUUUUCAGAAAAAAAGGUUUUUUUGAUUUAAAUAAUGGCUACUCUGCCAUUCAUUGUCAUAGACCCAUUGUCAUGCCUACUCUGCCAUUCAUGGUCACAGAGUUACUUCCUAAAGCAACUCAAAUUCCGUUAGUCCAUUGGUCAUGCUCCCAUAUCCUGAACCCCUAAUGCCAGUGUGUGUUGGUUACCCCAUCUCCAACGAUGCAGUUAUUACUAGUUAGACUCAUAUUAUUGCUUGUUGAUAUUAAUUUCAUGUCAUUCGCCAUUAUUGAUGCCCAUGAUACCACCACCAAGCUGAUUUGACAUCAUCGUUUCAUGUAUGAUUUUUUGAACAGAACUCUGGGAAUCAUUUGCAUCUGUGUCACUAGAAAGUGCUGGCUGCUGCAUUGCAAUGUUCGGUGAACUAGCAGAAUUCGUGUGCAUUCCAGUCGGUAAGCCACCAAGUGAAGUCUGUGGAGGAUCGUUAGAUGAUGAUGCCGUUGGAGACUGGAAAGGAGAAGGAUUGAGUUGCGGUUGUAGUAAGGUACUCAAGGAACACUAGGAGAUGGCAUCUGAACACCAUUUCCUCCGUAAGGACCAUUUGUGCUACUCUUCGGGUUUUUGCUGUCUCGAGUUCAUUGAGUUUUGAUGACGCAGCCCAGUUAUAUAUGGCACUAGUAGAGGAAGUUGCAGGAGCCGAAUUCAGUGGAUUAUUUACAUUUGCCAUGCCAUUUCUGGAAGGAAGUUGCAAUUAUUACGAAAAAUGUUUCAAUGUGGCCUAACCAUAUUGAAACGUGAUGACUUUUGCAAAAUUGGUUGGAAUUAGGAACUACUUGUACCUUUUAGAAUUAGGUUAUGAUGAUGAAUUUGGAAAUUUGCAGUGAUUGUUUCCAUUUAGAUAGUGAAUUGAAUUACUUACUUGAAAGGGAAAUGUACUACAAGCAUGAAAAAUAAUUCAUAAAAUAUGCAAAAAGUGUAAAUCACUGCAGUGCAUCUGUUUAUUGAAGGAGACUAUUUAAUAUUUGUGACGCAA